GUUGAAGAUUUCCGAGCAGAAGAUGGCCCUUGAAGAAAGCAAGAAUAGCCAGCUUAUGCCCGAUUAUUGACCGUAAUUCACUAUGGAUUCUUAAGAAGGUGAGAAAGAAAGAAAAUUUUCAAGGUAUGUUUAGGUGUAAUUGCAGUUGAUCUUUGAAAUCAAAAGUUGGUAUUUCAUUGAGGUGUGGGCUAAUGCUAGUUUUCUCAGAUGGGGUUCUUUCAGCUAGCAGUUGUAUUUUACUGAAUUUUGGAG
rnacentral:misc_RNA from 1 species